AGUGGCGAACGGGUGAGGAAUACAUCGGAACGUAUCUUUAAGUGGGGGAUAACGCAUCGAAAGGUGUGCUAAUACCGCAUAAUCUCUGAGGAGAAAAGCAGGGGAUCGCAAGACCUUGCGCUUUUGGAGCGGCCGAUGCCUGAUUAGCUUGUUGGUGAGGUAAAAGCUCACCAAGGCUUCGAUCAGUAGCUGGUCUGAGAGGACGACCAGCCACACUGGGACUGAGACACGGCCCAGACUCCUACGGGAGGCAGCAGUGGGGAAUUUUGGACAAUGGGGGAAACCCUGAUCCAGCCAUGCCGCGUGAGUGAAGAAGGCCUUCGGGUUGUAAAGCUCUUUCAGCCGGAACGAAACGGUUACGGUUAAUACCCGUGACUACUGACGGUACCGGAAGAAGAAGCACCGGCUAACUACGUGCCAGCAGCCGCGGUAAUACGUAGGGUGCGAGCGUUAAUCGGAAUUACUGGGCGUAAAGCGUGCGCAGGCGGUUUUGUAAGUCAGAUGUGAAAUCCCCGGGCUUAACCUGGGAACUGCGUUUGAAACUACAAGGCUAGAGUGUGGCAGAGGGGGGUGGAAUUCCGCGUGUAGCAGUGAAAUGCGUAGAGAUGUGGAGGAACACCGACGGCGAAGGCAGCCCCCUGGGUCAACACUGACGCUCAGGCACGAAAGCAUGGGGAGCAAACAGGAUUAGAUACCCUGGUAGUCCAUGCCCUAAACGAUGUCAACUAGUUGUCGGGUCUUAACAGGCUUGGUAACGUAGCUAACGCGUGAAGUUGACCGCCUGGGGAGUACGAUCGCAAGAUUAAAACUCAAAGGAAUUGACGGGGACCCGCACAAGCGGUGGAUUAUGUGGAUUAAUUCGAUGCAACGCGAAAAACCUUACCUACCCUUGACAUGUAUCGAAGCCCGCAGAGAAGUGGGUGUGCCCGAAGGGAACGAUACACAGUGCUGCAUGGCUGUCGUCAGCUCGUGUCGUGAGAUGUUGGGUUAAGUCCCGCAACGAGC
rnacentral:rRNA from 1 species